rnacentral:rRNA from 1 species
UACAGAGGUCCCAAGCGUUGUUCGGAUUCACUGGGCGUAAAGGGUGCGUAGGCGGUUCGGUAAGUCGGGUGUGAAACUCUGGGCUCAACCCAGAGAGGCCACCCGAUACUGCUGUGACUAGAGUGCGGUAGGGGAGCGGGAAUUCCUGGUGUAGCGGUGAAAUGCGCAGAUAUCAGGAGGAACACCAGCGGCGAAGGCGCCGCUCUGGGCCGUAACUGACGCUGAGGAGCGAAAGCAUGGGUAGCAAACAGG